UUAUGCAUGGAUUUGGAUUUGGAUUUGAUUUGAAAUAUUGUCUAAAAUCCAAAUCAAAUCCAAAUCCUUUUAUGAAAAUUUCCCUCGCAGAUGUCGCUAGUAAGCUGAGACCUGAGACGCACUCUUUUAGCCUUUUUGAGCUUUUUCUUAUUUUCUGAGGUUUUAGGCCUACCUAGUAGUAAUCCACGUACAACCGAGUCCAUAAAUAUCUACCCCCCACAAAGGCGCGAAAACUAAUAGUAAAAUAGCAUAACAAUAGAAUAUGUAGUUUCGCGCCUUCUUGGUGGGGUAGAUAUUUAUGGACUCGGGUGUACCAUCUGGCAUCUGCUAACUAAAAAGUAAAAUCGGUUAGUCUAUGUGUCUAAUUUCACGUGUUGAUUCAGUUUGUUGACUUCUGGGGAUCAUGCUCAUGAUUCUUUAAAGGUUUAAGACGCCAUUUUGCUUCUGAAUAGUGAAUAUCCUAUCUGCCUACUUUCACAGUUGUAGAACUAAGUUUAUUGAUGAAGUGAAGUCUCAAGUGUUAUUUAAGAAGAGUUCACGAGGAAGAGUACGAAAAAACGAAAGCAGGAGGGAAAAGUCACUCAUCAGACCAAUCUUCCAUGAAGAAUUUUCUUGCGACGAACAUCCCAAAAGAUAGGCAAAAGAAAAUCGAUAAUCUAAUAGCCGAAAUGAUAGUUUUGGACAAUUUACCUUUAACCAUUUUACAAAGAGAGGGGUUUCGGAAGCUAAUCUCGUUUCUAGCGCCAACAUAUAAAAUUCCAAGCAACUGACAUUUUGUCGUCAAUGAGAAAUAAGAUCAAACCAAAAUUAUUUGAUAUGCUUGUAUUCAUUAAAAGAAAUUCUCAUCUCCUUGAAACCGUCUGUGCUAAGGAGAAAAAAGACAAAUAAAUUGGAUUUGAUUUGGA